rnacentral:rRNA from 1 species
UACAGAGGUGUCAAACGUUGUCCGGAAUUAUUGGGCGUAAAGGGCGCGUAGGCGGCUUCUCAAGCGUGUGGUGAAAGUCCGGGGCUCAACCCCGGAUCGGCCGUGCGGACUGGGGAGCUCGAGUUCUGUAGAGGCGGGUGGAAUUCCGGGUGUAGCGGUGGAAUGCGUAGAGAUCCGGAAGAACACCGGUGGCGAAGGCGACUUUCUGGUCUGUAACUGACACUGAGGCGCGAAAGCGUGGGGAGCAAACAGG